UACAGAGGGGGCAAGCGUUGUUCGGAAUUACUGGGCGUAAGGGGCGCGUAGGCGGCCUGUUAAGUCGAACGUGAAAUCCCCGGGCUCAACCCGGGAACUGCGUCCGAUACUGGCAGGCUUGAAUUCGGGAGAGGGAUGCGGAAUUCCAGGUGUAGCGGUGAAAUGCGUAGAUAUCUGGAGGAACACCGGUGGCGAAGGCGGCAUCCUGGACCGAGAUUGACGCUGAGGCGCGAAAGCCAGGGGAGCAAACGGG
rnacentral:rRNA from 1 species